UACAGAGGGGGCAAGCGUUGUUCGGAAUUAUUGGGCGUAAAGGGCGCGUAGGCGGCCUUCUAAGUCGAACGUGAAAUCCCCGGGCUCAACCCGGGAACUGCGUCUGAUACUGGAUGGCUUGAGUUUGGGAGAGGGAUGCGGAAUUCCAGGUGUAGCGGUGAAAUGCGUAGAUAUCUGGAGGAACACCGGUGGCGAAGGCGGCAUCCUGGACCAAUACUGACACUGAAAAGCGAAAGCCAGGGGAGCAAACGGG
rnacentral:rRNA from 1 species